AAAGUCGAAAAACUUGCUGUCUGCCUGAUGAACUCACUGAGUCCAUGGGGAGACUCGCCGAGUUCACUUGUAUCUUCAACCUACUCGCCGAGUAGGUUCAUGCACUCGACGAGUAGGAGCCACAGAGUGCAGAUUUUCGACUUUAGUUGCUGGAAAUGGACUAGAAACAUUACCCUAAACUGUUUUGGUACUUGAAAACUUGUUUUAGAUGGUGUAAUGUCUUUGCUAAUCCAUUUACAACAACUAGUUAUCAAAAUUACAAAGUUUUAAGUGUAAUUUUGAUUCAUGAAAGUGAUCAUAUUCAUGUUCUUGAUCUUAUGGUGUUUAGAUGAUCAUAGGAAAUAUUUGUAACCUAUGUAGUAGUUUAAUUCUUGAUCAUAGUGUGUUUUAAUGGAGUCCAUAACUUAUCCUUAAGUUAUGGAAAACCAAGAGUCACUUGAGUUAAAAACCAUUAAGAAAAACACAAGAGUUAUAAAAAUGAAGAGUCUUCAUUUUAUGACUCUAUUAAACUCAUAAGUUACAAGAAAUGAAAAGUUUUGAAAGUUUACAAAACUUGCCCUCAAGUUUUGGAACAAGUAAAGUCAAGUUAAAACUUUAGUUCCAACCCCUAGAAUUUUAAAAGUUAAAAUUCAACCCUUAUACUUAUAUUAUUAUGAUUUAAUAAUUAUAUAUAUAUGUAUAAGAACAAAGUCGUCUUACCGCUAGUACGCCUCAUUCACGAAGCCGGUCUAUAAGGUGGGUAUAAGGUUGUUGCCUAUAAAAUGGUGACUUAAUGGGUGUCCACUCUCACCCACCGCUUGCUUGAUCGGUGGAGGGUCGUUAGCCGAACGGGUAAGACAAGGACUUAUUAAUUCUCAUUCAAAGUAUGAUGAAUAUUAUAAAGUAACUAAAUGUUUUAUUAAAUUCCCAAUCUUAGUUACUUUAGGAAAAAUGUGAAUAAGGUGCUAUUCCAUGAAAUUACACUUUACACUUUGAUUAAGUCGUUGGUGGAGCGUGUGUGGUUAACCGGCACACUAACUUGGACUUAACAAGGUAGGUAAAGGGUGACUUAGGGUUUAUUAUAGUAUCGAUGGAGCGUGUGUGGUUAACCGGCACAUCGAUUGAGUGAUAAACUUUAAGGGUACCAAGUGAUUUGCAUGGUUACUUCACACCUCGUUUUGUGAUCCUCGGUAUCCCAGUCACAAAACUUGGAGGGCACACUCGAGAUUGAAACAUGCCUUUGAAAAGUUCAUUGAAUCUCAAAGAAUCUAGGAAUUUCUAAGAACCAUUCAAAAACCUAAUACUAAAAUAUUGCGGUUUUCGUGGUGGAAAUUGGUGAAUCGUCAUUCACCUACCUUUCAAAUAUGAUAUAGCUUAGAUUACGGCAUACCUCUUCUAAGUUAUAUUAUAUUGUGAUUGGAUCCUAGCCUUAAUAUUACAUUUGGGUGUUUUAUUAAGGACUCUCUUAUAUCUAAACUAAUCUUGUCCUCUUUCCUUCAGAUGUCUUUCAACAAUGCUUCUGGCUCUAAUCCUAAUGGCUCCUUUACCCUUAUGAACUUGUGUGGGAAAGUCACCUUUGAUGGAUCCAACUUCAAUGAGUGGAUCAGAAACAUCAGGAUGAUUACCCGCUACGAGGACAAAGAAUAUGUCCUUGACAAGGAGCUUAAGGAGAUUGAUGAGUCCACUGCAACUCCUCAGGAGAUCGCUGAAUUUCGGGCACAUGAAAGGGAUGCUACGAAAGUGGCUUGCAUCAUGAUGGCCACGAUGACAGCGGAACUCCAAAAGUCUUAUGAGGAUUUCUACCCUUAUGACAUGCACCAAGAUUUGAUGGAAAGAUACCAUCAAAGUGCAAGACAAGAGAGGUAUGAAAUCAUCUGCUCCAUGAUAACAACCAUGAUGAAGGACGGGGAAUCCGUCACGAGCCACAUGCAGAAAAUGCAAAGGUAUGUGGAUCGUUUGCUGAAGCUUAAUGUGAACUUCCCGGAGGAUCUUGCAAUAGAUAUUAUUUUGCAUUCCUUACCAUCGUGCUAUGAUCAAUUCCGCAUGACAUAUCACAUGAACAAGGAAGAAGUCACCCUCAGCAAACUUCAGGGACUUCUCAAGACCGCAGAAACAGGUCUUAAGGGGAAGUCGGUUGCUAUCACUCCUACUCAAAACUCUACUCCGGUUUUGGCAAUCGGGAAAAGUCGAGGGAGGAAGAGAAAGAGCUCUUCUAAGGGUACCAAGGCUCGGACCCUUGAUGGCUCUUCUUCAAGUGGAACCAAGAAAGGUUUCGUUACUCCUUCUUCUGACCCAAAAGAGGCUGAAUGCUUCUAUUGCCAUGAAAAAGCUCAUUGGAAGCGGAACUGCCCAAAAUACCAGCAAGAUGUGAAGGAUGGGAAAGUUAAACCCAACCAUGCAGGUAUUUACACUAUCAUUUCUAAUAACUCACCCCAUUCUAAUUCUUGGGUCCUUGAUACCGGGUGUGGUAUUCACAUUUGUUGUGACUUGCAGGGACUAAGAAGAAGUGAGGAUGUGGAGCAAGGAAGGAUAAACUUGAUCAUGGGGAAUAGGAAAGCUAUACCUGUUACCAAGAUUGGAGUUUAUACUUUAUCGCUAAGUAGUGGGUUUAGUUUAGAUUUGAAUAAGUGUUGUUAUUCGCCAGGAAUGGCAAGAAAUAUUAUUUCCUUUCAUGCUUUGUACAAACAAGGGUUUACCUUUUCAUUUAAUAAUGAAGUUGGUUCUAUAGAUGUUUUCUAUAAUAAUGUCUUUUAUUUUAAAGCAUUACCUUGUGAUGGUGUGUAUGAAGCUGUAUCUGUUGUAGAUAACUUGGGAAAUAAUGUUUUGUGUAUUGAUUCUACUAAUAAUAACUUGGAUAAAGCAUCUUUAUGGCAUUGUCGUCUUGGACAUAUAAGCAAGAAACGCAUAGGCCAACUCCAAAAGGAUGGAGUCUUGGAGUCGUUUGACCUAAAGUCAGAUGAUAGUUGCGAAUCAUGCUUACUUGGAAAAAUGACAAAGUCACCCUUCACAGGUUCGUGUGAGAGGGGUGAAGGUUUGUUGGACCUUAUACACACGGAUGUGUGUGGACCAUUCAAACAUGCCACAAGGGAUGCUAAUCGUUAUUAUUUGACUUUUACUGAUGAUUAUAGUAGAUAUGGAUAUGUCUACUUGAUCAAGCAUAAGUCAGAGACUUUCGAAAGGUUUAAGGAAUUUAAACAGGAAGUCGAGAAUCAAUUGGGCAGGAACAUUAAGAUGCUUCGAUCCGAUCGUGGUGGUGAGUAUCUUAGUUCAGAGUUCCUUGACUAUCUAAGGGAAUGUGGGAUAGUCUCACAAUUGACACCUCCCAGGACACCACAGUUGAAUGGUGUGGCUGAGAGGCGUAAUCGAACCUUGUUAGAUAUGGUUCGUUCCAUGAUGAGUCGAGCUUCGCUACCAAUCUCAUUCUGGGGGUAUGCCUUAGAGACUGCCGCCCAUAUCCUUAAUCUAGUCCCUACAAAGAAAGUUGCCAAAACUCCUCACGAGAUGUGGACUGGUAAAGUACCUAAACUAGACCACAUCAAGAUUUGGGGUUGCGAGGCUUUCGUGAGACGCGAGACUCAUGAUAAGCUCGAACCCCGAAGCGAGAGGUGUAUUUUCAUCGGCUACCCACAACAAUCCUUUGGUUACCUCUUCUACAGACCUAGUGAAAAUGUGGUCUUUGUAGCUAGGAGGGCUUUCUUUAGAGAGAGAGAGUUCAUAAGCCAAGGAAACAGUGGGAGGCAAGUUGAUCUUGAAGAAAUUCAAGAGUCAAGCGGUGAAGGAACUUCAAACCCUAGCACUCAACUUGAGGAGGAAACUCCUGUUGAGCCAAUUGACAAGUCUGUACCUCUGAGGCGUUCCACAAGGGUUAGGAAUGCUCCUGAGCAUUACUAUGGAUUUCAUAUUACUGCAGAAGGAGAUACACUUAUCAGUGAUGGGACACUGAUAGGUCUGGAUGAGCCUAACAGUUGCGCGGAAGCUAUGGCAGGCCCUGAUUCAGCCAAGUGGAAAGAGGCAAUGGAUAGCGAAAUACAGUCCAUGUAUGACAAUCAAGUUUGGAACUUGGUUGAGAAUGUACCAGGUCGUAAGACAGUAGGGUGCAAAUGGGUCUUCAAGAAGAAGACCGACAUGGAUGGUAAAGUACACACUUAUAAGGCUAGACUGGUUGCAAAGGGCUUCUCUCAAAUUCCUGGAGUGGACUAUGAUGAGACCUUUUCUCCAGUAGCCAAGAUUAAGUCUAUUCGGGUUCUGUUNUGCAAAGGGAUUCUCUCAUAUUCCUGGAGUGGACUAUGAUGAGACCUUUUCUCUAGUAGCCAACAUUAAGUCUAUUCGGGUUCUGUUAGCCAUAGCUCCAUUUCAUGACUAUGAAAUAUGGCAAAUGGAUGUCAAAACCGCUUUCCUUAAUGGGAAGUUGGCUGAGGAUGUUUACAUGAGUCAGCCAGAGGGUUUUGUCAGCAACGAGUACCCUAAUAGAGUGUGUAAGCUUGAGAAAUCCAUUUAUGGAUUGAAGCAAGCACCUCGCAGAUGGAAUCUUUGCUUUGAUGAAAAGGUCAAGGAAUUUGGCUUUUCUAGGAGUGAAGAUGAAUCUUGUGUGUAUGUCAAGGCUAGUGGGAGUAUAGUUAGCUUUUUGGUAUUGUAUGUGGAUGACAUACUACUCAUAGGAAACGACAUUCCAACCCUGCAGGAAGUAAAGUCCUGGCUUGGGAAGUGUUUCGCUAUGAAGGACCUUGGUGAAGCUGCCUAUAUUCUAGGGAUAAGAAUCUUGAGAGAUCGGAGUAAAAGACUAAUUGGACUUAGUCAGAGUACCUACUUGGAUAAGGUGCUGAAGAGAUUCAGCAUGCAGGAUUCCAAGAAAGGAGAGUUACCCAUCCAGAGUAACACCAGAUUGAGUAAGACACAAAGCCCUAGCACUGAGGCUGAGAUAGCAGAAAUGAGUCGAACACCUUACGCUUCGGCUGUAGGAUCGAUCAUGUAUGCUAUGACGUGUACUCGACCCGAUGUAGCUUUUGCCUUGAGCAUGGUUAGCAGGUAUCAGGCGAACCCUGGCAAGGCACACUGGACUGCGGUAAAGAAUAUCCUCAAGUACCUACGGAGGACUAAGGACUGGGUCCUUACCCUCGGUGGGAGUGAUNNNNNNNNNNNNNNNNNNNNNNNNNNNNNNNNNNNNNNNNNNNNNNNNNNNNNNNNNNNNNNNNNNNNNNNNNNNNNNNNNNNNNNNNNNNNNNNNNNNNNNNNNNNNNNNNNNNNNNNNNNNNNNNNNNNNNNNNNNNNNNNNNNNNNNNNNNNNNNNNNNNNNNNNNNNNNNNNNNNNNNNNNNNNNNNNNNNNNNNNNNNNNNNNNNNNNNNNNNNNNNNNNNNNNNNNNNNNNNNNNNNNNNNNNNNNNNNNNNNNNNNNNNNNNNNNNNNNNNNNNNNNNNNNNNNNNNNNNNNNNNNNNNNNNNNNNNNNNNNNNNNNNNNNNNNNNNNNNNNNNNNNNNNNNNNNNNNNNNNNNNNNNNNNNNNNNNNNNNNNNNNNNNNNNNNNNNNNNNNNNNNNNNNNAACUAGAGGGCUUGGCCGAUUUUGAGAAGUGUGUGUUAUCUCAAGAGUCUUUCCAAGAGCAUUUGGUGUUGUGUGAAGCAUUUGAGGCAUCACACUUGGGGUGCUAGGCUCACAAGGUUUCAAGGAACACAAGCAACAACAAGGUAAGUUAUUCUAUCUAUGAUUCAAGUUAAAAUUGUUCCCCAUGUAUGCUAGAUAGGAAUAUAACCUUGGAAUUCAACUUUGCAUGAUAAUUAGACAAACAUAGAUCCAAGGUUAUUAGGGUUGUAUGUACACUUAGGAAGUGUUAGAAUGCUCAAAACCCAUCAAUAAGAAUAGUUAUGAUUGAAAGGGGGAGGGACACUCUCAUAACGUAGACCCUUUUCUUGGUUAUUUUUAAAUUGUAAACAAUGGUCUAUCAUGUUAGCAACUACUUCUCUUGACACAUCAAACUCAACAGUUAAUUCAACAAGUUGUCUCUUAACAUAGUCAUAAUUUUCACAUUUAUUGCUAUAAUCUUCCUGAAGCUUCCUAAUGUCUUUGGUUUUUGCUUCUAAUUCAGCCUUCAGGGGUUUUUGUCCUUUCCUGAGUUGAUAUCCUUCAUAUCUCAGGUCCCCAACUUCUCUUUUUAAUAAAUCAAUUUGUUCCUGAAGAAGUUUAAUCGUAGCUUCACAAGAUGGAGCACAUGAAACUUCAUUGACUGGGAUGUUUGCAGAACUCAUUUUUAUUCCACAUUUCAAAGCGUCAAGUUCUUCAAAUACAGCAACAAGACUAAGACGAUUGAGAUCUUUUGUCUUCUUGAUGACAGCCGCGCUCAUAUCCCACGACUUCGGAAGUGCAUUCAGUAGCUUUUUGUUUAUCUCAGAUUUGGUCAUGAAGAUCCCAACUAUAUUCAUCUCAGUAGUAAGUGUAGUAAAUCGCCGCAAUUGAUCUUCCAAGGUUUCUACAGGGAUAUAAUUGAACAGGUUGAAACUUUGUCUUAACAUAUCCUAAUGAAUCAAAAUUUUUAGUAAAAAGCCAAAAAAAAAAGUCAAAAUUUAAAAAUUAAAAUUUUUGGUAGAAAAUGGAAUUUAAAAAUAAAAGAUUUUGAGUUUUGGGCUGAAAGGGUUAAUUUGCAAAAUUAGGAACCGAAGGUAUUGUAUUUGCGUUAUAAUUUGUUUUGCGGUCUGAUUGAAGGUGUGCGGCGAGUUGAAGGUGUACGGCCGAACACGCGUGUACGGUUCCCGGUGUGUGGCUCGGAGUGUGCGGCCUCGGUGUAUGGCUCAGAGUGUGCGUGCUCUGUGUGCAGCCUCGGAGUGUGCGGCUAGGUGUACGGUUCAGCAGCCUUGGUCUCGGUCUCGGUCAGCAGACGCCCUCGCACCUCUUCCUCGCAGCACAACUUCAUAUUAAAAAAAGAAAGGGAAAUUGGGCCUGUCGGGAUUCAAACUCAGGUCCCUUGAGUUAAUAAGCAUGCGCCUUACCAGUUGGGCUAAGCUGAAUCAUGUUACAAACCUUCGAAAAAACAACGUUUUUCACCAUUCUUGCUCCAAAACUCGAUCAAAAACUCGUUUUUUAUCAAAAAUGCAAAGAACAAACCCCCUUUAUUUUGCCACAAUCUUCCAAAAAUGCAAAAAUCCUUUAAAAAUAUGAUCAAAUAAGCUCCAUAUCUGACAAAAUUGAUUGAUACAAUCAAAGCUCUGAUACCACUUGUAAGUCCCCAAAUAUGCUUGUGUAUCAAUCAGAUCCGUUUGAUGGUGCUAAAUCCCAAUCAAAUGGAUGAUUUCAGAUCAAAAUAGAAGAGAAGAAGAAGAAGAAGAAGAAGAAGAAGAUGAUGAAUCUAAUGUAUUGAUGAUAUGAAUUAUGCUCCUUACAAGAGAUUCACACACACACACACACACACUAGUUCUUCUCUCUAGUCUCUCUCUCUACAAUAUGCUCCUCUCGUUACCUCUCUCUAGAACAUAACUUAAUUUCACACACUUAAGCUCCUUGGCCAUAUACCCACAUGCACUCCUCACCCUAUAUAUAUGAGACAUGGGCCGUGAACAGGUUCAUGACUGUAAACCAGUUAACGGCCAUAAACACAGCCGUAAACUCAUAAAAAAUUACGGAAAAAUACAAUUGCCUAGAAAAGUAAAGUAUAAACCAUAAUUUUGACCCAAUAGAUUCCAUGCAACCCAAAUGGACCAUACCAAUUGGGUCAAGUACAUACCAGUUAUAGUUAUGGACUUAGACACCAAUCCAAUAGUCGCCCACUUGGAUAAGUCUAAAACUAUUAUUGUGUAUGACUUCAAAACCCAACUAGCAAUCGUAGCUCUUAAAAGCUGUUGUCAAACUCUGAAUAAAUUAAUAAAACGUCUAUUAGAGACGAGAUCGUAUAUUCCUCCAUACUAGAUACCAUAUGGACUGAGACAUGGAUUAUAAUCAUUCUCUUUGUACAUUUGUUGUUUCUCGAUUUCCAAUUUAUGAAGAUUGACUAAUUAAACAAAUCAAAUCAGUCCUGUCUUGGCCAAGCACUUCGGGGUGACAUCACUAAAUCAUCGAGGGGCCCACAUAUAUCGCUUUUAUCCCUCGAAUGGUAAAAAGAAUGGAUAAACUUCGACUCAUAUGCUAGUUCUACUACUUGUUGAAUCAUACACAAACGCACGUUUUAUAACAUCGAGUUACCAAUGUGUUUUCGUACAAUCAAUGUAUAACCAACUCAUAGUCAACAACUCAUAUCUCUAGGUUUGAGGAAUAUAAGAUAUUAUCAUCUCAUGAUCACUCUUGAUAAAAUCCAUGAAGUGAGUUAAAUGAGCGUGGGUUUAAUCCAAUACUCAAAAAUUUUGAGCACUCAUGAAUAUUGCAGCAACUCUUGUUAUGUCCAAUACAUUGGACAUCUAGAAACCUGCUUCAUGAUAGUCUUGAUUCAUAUCUACUUCCAACAUAUGACCAACUGUCGAUGGUUUGAAUAACUGAGUCAUUUAGGAAGAGCGACCUAGUUAUGCUGGAAGUCAAAACAUGCAAAGUGAAACACAAGAAUAAUCGAAUCCAAUAUGGUUUUAGAACUUAUGAAUAUAAAUAGAACACCUUUUAUUUAUCACCAUAUUGUUUACACAUUAUUCAUUGCAUACUGUUUCAAACUAUCAACUUUAUAAUAGAAUUAAAACACUAGUCCCAUUCUCCAAGCACGUACACUGUCUUUUCUAAAACACUAGUUAUGCCAUACACCAAGUAUGCACACUAUGUUUUUCCAAACAUUAGUUAUGCCAUAAAUCAAGUAUGCACACUAAGUUUGUCUAUCAUCUUUACUUUUGUGAAAUAGAUCGAUUGAACAUAAUUCCAAUGAUUCUCAUUUCACAAUCCCAAAUCCUUACCGCAAAUGCAAGAAUUCCAAAUUGUUGUCAUUUAUCUGUACUGAUUAUGCACAAAGUCAUAAAGACUUGUCAACAGACAUUAAAGAGUGUUCCAAUGGAGAUCAACUCCAUCCAAAUGAAGUCUCAUAUUCAAUGUACAUUGCUUUGAACAUCCUUCUUGCAUUAAGUUUCGUAAUCUUACAUAGAUUUAAUGAAUAACUUUCACUUAUGGGAACAUUUCCAUAUUUCCAUUUUGACUAUCACUUGCCUCUCUUCAUAAUAUGUCAAGAUGGUCCUCUCCAAAAAUUCACACCAAACUUCCAACUGUCCCUGAGCAACCAAUCUUUGGUAAACCUUAGAUUGUCCUCGACAAAUGCUUAAUCAUUUUAGUCAUAUCCAAUUCUCAUACUUUUUCCCUCAUAAUGCUCAAGGAAUUUGGAAAAUUUUAAAACAGAUGAAUAUUAUAGCACAUGCAAUCAACCCUAUAUCCAAGCAUAUGGGACAAGAUUCAUGAUGUAUCACAUAAAGAUAUGAUACUACACCUGUCUUUUUGCUAUAAUAUUUCUAUUUCUAUUUGCCAAGUGCUCAUAAUUCAGAUUAUGAAAAGGGAUGUUGUAAUCAUAAUCGAAUUUUAGAACGCAAAUAAUGUCCCAUAUAUAGAAUUUCUUUAUGCUGAACCAUUCCAACAUAACAUUCAUAUAUAUACUUGACUAAAUUUGAUUAAAAUCUCACGAUCUAAGCUUUUAGAUUUGAAAUGAAGUAUAAUUUCCUCUCCCUUAAUUAUAGCAAAGCAAAUUUUUCCCAAUUGAAACUAUUGUUUUCAAUAAUUAACAUUGCUAACUUGCAACACUUAUCAUAGAUAUCAUGCUCCCACUAACAUGAUGAUUAUUAGCAUAACACUUAUGCUCCCACUAGCUUUGACAUGUACUCAGAAAUCAGUUGGACUUCUAGAAAUCAAUACUUUAUUGACUUUCUUACCAAAUUUUAGAUUUCUGAUACAAAAUGCUUUGAUAAAACAUUAUCAAAAUCAUACACCUUUCCUUAGAUAGCACACAUGUGCGUGUUAACAAUUUCAGACCUAUGAAAAGGGAUGUCAUAAUCAUAGUCUUAAUUGUUUAGACCUUUGCCAUUCCUCACAAGUCCAUGUUUUGUGCCGGUUAACCACACACGCUCCACUAACGAAUUUAAGAAUGCAAAUAUCAUAAUUGCUAUCUACUUAAAAUCUACUUAGUGAAAGUGUUUCCUCACCAUCAUUUUCAUGAAUCGGAGAGAAACCUUAUGACAAGGUUAUGACAAAUCCAAACUCAUAUCCAUGUGAAUUUGUCAAAACCAUAAUCACAAGACAAGGUCAUGACAAAUCCAAACUCAUAUGGAUUGAACUUAUGCAGUUUUAACUUUCUGGCCACCUGGUAGCACAAGGGCCUGCCAUUGCUUCCAAGUUGUUUUGCAACCAACGCAAAGCCAACUUUAACCGGAAUGGGCACAUAAACAAGAAAAAUGUCAACACAAUAGAUUAUAAACCUCAAGUCAUGUGCUAGUGAUAAACUACAGGUUUCAUUCUUGAUUAGAUCUUGAAAUUCUUUCAGGAUCUUUAAGACUCCCACUGUCCUCUUGACAUAUAAGACUCACUUUCCAAAUAUUCAAGAGAUAGUGUGGAUUCUUUAUCAAGACAAACACUUCACACAAUUGGUCUAAGUUUAUCUCUGUUUUAUCCAAAACAUCACAACAUACCAAUUUCAAAUGUACAAGAGUAGGACACACUUUACUCUUACAUUUGACUAAGUGUUAAUAAACCUUUCUUUAAGAUAUGUCACUUAAAUUACAAUCUUGGAGUAUGACUCUAAGACUUGUUUUGGAACGAAGUAUGACUCAUCUUCUUGAUUCAACCAUUUUAACAAUUAUUGAUUCCUCUUCUUAGCCAUAGGAAUGCACUAGGAUGUCCUUAGAGGACCAUUUGUGAAAUGGUUUCUUAAUCAUCAAGAUGAUCACAAAACAUUAUACUAAAGUACUCUCCCAUCUUUUCAGAUUUGAGAAAAUUUUAUCUUUCUGCCUAAUUUGAUUCUUCUCAUUCGUUCUGCCAUACAUCGAAACUUUUCCAAUGUUUCAAAAUUAUACUUAAACUUGCAAGUAUAACCAUAUUUACUAAACUUUAGUAAAUCAUGACGAAUAGUCUUAUCAAUCUUUUGUGGUGGACUUGACCAGUGCACAAGAAUGUGUACUCGAUCCCUUAGUCCUUCAGUUGACUCACAUAUACAUAUAAACAAGGAAUUAGUCUUAAUUUUCCAAAGAUGAAAAUUCUCAUUCAUCAUACUAUACAACUUGCAUGAUUCCAAGUUCCGGUCCAUUGAAACUUAGGUGAUGAGAAUCUUUCCUUAUUUGGUAAAUUUAGACACUAUAACAAAUGAAAGAAUCAAAUUCAUAUUUUCAUUAUUGCUAUAAACAUAUAAACAUCACUUUUCCAUAAAUGCCAUUGCAAGGAGAUAAAAUAAAAUAAUACAAAAAUUUUAUUUAUUUAUAAGAUAUGGAAAAAUCUUUUUCCUUACAGUGCAACUUUAAAUGAAAAACUAUGUUAUUACAUAUUUUCUAGCAAUAUAUCAUAACUCCUAAGUAGCAGCUCAAGAAUCCGAUCGUCGAACCAUGCGAUUGAAAUCCAUCUUCGCGAUCAGAUUCAACAUACUCUUUCUUUAAGUUUCCUUCCCUUUGCUUGAUCCUGCCAUACAUCAAAAUGUAUUAAGAAUCUCCAAAUGGGAAUUUAAUUGAGUUAGAUAGUGGACUUAUCUGAACCAGAGGUCAAGCUUUUUGACUAGACCUUCUCUCAGAUCUUUCAGGUAGUUAGGGCAGGUUUGCAACCAAUGCCCCUUACUUUUGGUAAUAGAAACAUCCUGACUCUUUGGGAAUGCUACACUGGACUAUCUCAGACUUGCCUUUCUCUUUAUCAUUUGGUCAACCGAGUUGACUAUGGUCAAUCCCUUUCCUUGGGAUGAGAUGGCUUUUCUAGAUAUCCAAUGUUACCAUUUUCCAUGUCCAUGGAAGUCUGGGAAGUUGAUCUUCUUAAUCAAAUUUGCUCAACUAGUGCUCCAUAUCAUUGUUGAUUCAGCAGCACCAAGCAAAAUAGAUAAGAUCAUUAAGGGUCAUGUCAUAGUCUUUUACAUAGUAGUCCCAAAGGACGCCCACUAUGUGACUUAGAAAGUUAUUGAACAACCAACUUUCUCAAGACUUUGACAUCCAACUCUCCCGGCUUGUCAAUAUGUGACUUCAUCUCCAUGAUGUGAGCACACAUAGACCUUGCUUGCCAAUAGGGCUUGAGUGUCCUUGAACUUGUGGGUUAGGGAGAAUAAUUGGAGGAAGUGAAGAAUGAUUUGCGGAACAUCGUAUUCAUUAGGAAAGCUUAUUCCAAGAGUUUUGGGAAGAUCAUUAUUUGGCUGAACCAGACAUCUUUUGGGAGAUAUUUAAGUUAGUUGAUUUAAGUCCAUAAUAAAACACCCAAUAUGAAAUAUUAAGGCUAGGACCAACACAAUACUUUAUAACUUGAAAGAGGGAUGUCGUAAUCCAAGUUAUAGAAUAUUUGAAGGCAGGGGAAUGACGAUUCACCAAUUUCCACCAUGAAAAACGAAAUAAUUUAUUAGGUUUUAAUUGGAUUUGAAACUCCUAGAUCUUUUGAGAUUCAUUGAACUUUUCAGUGGCGUGUUUCAAUCUCGAUUGUGGCCUCUUAAAUUUUGUGACUUGGAUGCCGAGGAUCACAAAACAAGCUUUGAAUAAUCAUGCAAAUAUACUUGGUACCCUUAAUAUUUACCCCUCAAUCGAUGUGUCGGUUAACCACACGUGCUCCACUAAUACUAUGAUAAAAUUAAGUUACCCUUUGCCUACCUUGUUAAAUCAAGCUAGUGUGUCGAUUAACCACAGGCGCUCCACUAACCGACUUAAGCAAAAUGCAAAGUGGAAUUUCAUGGGUUAGCACCAAAAUCACUUUUUCCCAAAGUAACUAAGAUUAGGAAUUUAUAAAAGGUUUAGUUACUUUAUAUUUAUCAUUAAUACUUUUAAUGAAGGGAGAAUUCUAGUCCUUGUCAUACAUGUUCGACUAACGACUUUCCAUCAGUCAAGGAAGUGGUGGGUGAGAGUGGACACCUAUUAAACUACCAUUUUAUAGGCAGUAACCUUAUACCACCCUUAUAGACCGGCUUCAUGAAUGAGGCCUACUAACGGUAAGACUGACUUUGUUCUUUUAUAUAUAUAUAUAUAUAUAUAUAUAUNAAAGUAUAAGGUUUGAAUUUUAACUUUUAAAAUUCUAAGGGUUUAACUUCGAAUUAAAGUAUUCAUCAGGGGAAAUUUUACAAAUUCCAAAACUUGAGGGCAAAUUUUGAACUAUUCAAAAACUUUUCAGUUCCAUAAAUUAUGUGUUUAAAGUAGCUUUAAUGAAAAAAUCUUCAAGUUCCAUAACUUGAGGACAAGUUAUGGAAGACUUUAAAACAUUUAAAAAUGAGACUCUCCAUUUUUCAUAACUUAUGGUAAUCUUAUGAGUUUUAACAAUCAUAAUUGUGACUUUUCAUAUAACUUUAGGACAAGUUAAAAAAACACAUAUUAUGAACAACUUUUAGAUUAAUCUGGAGUGAAAACAUAUUAUCACAUAACUUUUCUAUUAAUCAAAAUCAACUCAUAAGAACAAGAUAAUUCAAAUCAAACACUUUUCAUGAAAUUAGCCUAACCAUUAAACUAAUACAAAACAUGAAUCUAUUGACAAUUAUCUUUUAAAUUGGAUUAGCAUGAACAUUACCACAUCAAAAACAGGUUUACAAGUUCAAAAACAGCUUAGGGUAAUGUUCCUAGUCCAAUUCUAGCCAAAAAAAAACUCGAAAAUAUGUUGUCUGGGGGUCCAACUCGUCGAGUGCAUGAACCAACACGAUGAGAUGGAUGAUUUUUUGCACUUUUUAGGCAUGGAAUCAUCGAGUCCCUUAAUGGACUCGGCGAGUCAGCUGUCCAGACAGCAAAAAAUUUGAUUUUUCUGUCUUUUUUCAGCAAUUUGCAUCAAGUAUAAUUGAAAACAAGCCUAUGCUCUGAUACCACUGAAGGGUUUUGAGCAUUCUAACACUCCUAAGGUGUACAUGCAACCGUAAAUACCUUGGAUCUAUGUUUUCUCUAUUAUACAUGCAAAUAUCAAUUUUCCAAGGUAUUGUUCUAACUAGCACAAUAUGAAGUACAUAUAAUAUUAAUUCUAGUAGAAUUACAUACCUCUUUGUUGUAGCUUGAUUCCGUGGAGCUUAAGAGCCUAGUGCCUCAAAUGUGGCACCUCAAGUGGUUCACACAACAUCACCAACAUCUUGGAGUAACUUGAGAGAAAAGGUUCCUAUGCUCAAAUCGGCUAGCCCUCAUCUGUACACACAGUAGUGCUAAUUUAAUGAGCCAUGGGGUCCUUAUAUAUUGUGGCUAUUAGGGUUACACCAUGUAACUCAUGUUUUUCCAUAUUCUUCAUGUUCCAUGGGUUAAAACCUCCACGGAGUAUCCAUGGGUUACUCUAUGGUUUAGCCCAAGAUGAAGAACUAUGGAUCAUAAGCCCACAUAUAUAAGAAUGAAUGAUUUACACAAUUAAUCCCCAUAUAUUUAAUUAGUCCUUUUUAUCACGUAAUUAAUUCCAAAUUAAUUCUUGAUCAAUACUAAUUAAAUAAUAUGAUUUAAUAUUAAUAUAUUAGAACUUAUAAUAUAUUAACAAAUCAUAAAUAUCCUUUUCUCACAAAAGUCUAUCCAAAUUGUUCUGAUGCCAUGCAACCCAAAUGGACCAUGCCAAUCGGGUCAAGUCCAUACCAAUUAUAGUUAUAAACUUAGACACUAAUCUAACAAAAAGUCCGUAUCAGAGCCCUAGUUUGAGAAAAUUAGACGAACACUUGUGUGAAUCCAGUCUCAAACUAGGACCCAAGAAUUUUCACAAAAUAUUUUGAAAAAGAAAUUUAUAAUAAAAUGAUUAGGUUAGGGAUAUGGAUUUGGUCUCUUGUCAUGUUCUUGUUUGAUAUUUGGCAUGGAAUCGGGAACAUAGACUUUGACUUAACUUUGGUUUUAUAGGAAGAUGGUGUGUGUACAGUCAGCGAGAUCCCAAAUAAUAACAUGGUCCGCAAAAUACCUAUACUUGUUAUAUAUGUUGAAUUUUUGCUUUUGUUGAUAUGUGAACUAUUAGAAAAGCAUGCUAUUGGAUGAGCUAAGGUUCUUUUAGGAACUAUGGGAUAGAAGUGCCAGACUUUAGUGAUGCCUUAUGCUAUACGGAGUUGCUUGUUAGAUGUUACUUGAUUUUGUGAUUUAUACGUGUAUGCUGAUUAGUUGUAUAUGGUUGGGAUUAAAUAGACUUAGAAUGAUUGACAUAGCCUUACUUCAUGUUCCUUGUUUGGUUGUGGAAUUAGGGUAGAGUCGAUUAUUCAAUAAUCUAUCUGACCCCGUAUUGUGUACAACAAGCAUGUACAAAAGCAACCAGUGGUGCAGGAUUGAGGAUAAUCCUAGAAAUAGUGCCUAGGAAGUUAGUUGUAGCUCGUAGGAGAAGUAGGUGUUAGCGCACCAAGGAGUCGUCUAGUAGAGUGACUUAGGACCUUGGGAUGAAUUCUAAAUCGACAUUCAGGAUAGGUGUUGAAGGUAGUAUGGGCAUGUACUACUAAAAGUACAUGAUCUGUAUGAGAUUAAAGAGGAACCUAGAGGCUACUAAGGAACUAAUCGGAGUGUGGUCUAGUUUGUUGAGCACUAUGUUUUGAUGUCUAAUAUUUCCUUGGUAUAUUUUAGUAUGGCACCUUUUUAAGGUUCAGGAUUAGGAGCUCGUGACACUAGGAGAGUAGGUUCAAGUGAAGAGGAGAUCCGGAGAACCAUUGCUGCCAGAGUGGCCGAGCCGAUCUGGGAAGUGACUCCUAAGUUGUUUGGUUUAUUCAAGACUGCGUUGAUCGAGGAGUUUAACUAGCGUUAUGCUGCCAUCACACAGGUAACUACUGAUGCAGCCAUAGCAGCUGUCAACAUUGCAAGAUCUUAGGGAGGCGAUGCGAUGUAGUACCUAGAGGUCAAUUAUAUGAAGCCUCCAAAGUUCAGAAGCGACAGGGACCUGAUCAAUGUUUUUAGAUGGAUUUCUGACAUGGAGGGAUGCUUCUUCAUGUUUUCCUUUCCCGAGGGCCAGAAGGUGUAAUUUGAAUUGAAUAUUUUCCAAUGGGAUGCAAAGGAUUUAUGGGAGUUCGUAACCAAGUGUUUUUGCAUGUAGAGCAAGUCGUAGUUACUUGGGAGUAGUUCCAAGAUAUAUUCUAAGCGGAGUAAGUUCCUCUUGUGGAGUGGGAGCGAUUGACACAGGAGUACCUCUUGCUCAAGCAAACGUCGGAGUCUGUAACACCCCAUUUCUUAAAUAAAUAAAUGAAUAAAUUGAUGAGUGUAUAGUAGCCCUAAAAUCAACAAUUUAUAUAGCAAGGUGUUGGCCUUGGGGGUUAAUUGUUACAAUUUUAGAAGUUGGGGGUUAAAAGUGUAAGUUCCGGAGUGGUUUGUGAAUAUUUAUGAAGGCAUGGGUUGUUUGGUGAAUUAUUGGGCCUUAAUUUGAAUAGAUUUUGGAAAGCAAGGACUAAAUGGUUAAUUCUGGAUUUAAUUGUAAAUAUUUCUAAAGGCAGGGGCUAUUAGGUAACUUUUGGACUUAGUUUGAAGAAGAUAUGGUAAGGAGGGGGUAGAUCUGACAAAACCGUAUGGAAGUUUGGAAGGGAGCGGGGGUGUCUUCUUUCCAUCCCAUAUGCGCGACUAACCUAAACCCUAAGCAUCGAUUCCAACGGCCACUUCUCCUCCUCUCACUAUUUCGAUCAUGAAAAGACAUCGCUUGCUGCCCCACCAACGAACGCCACCGCACCUUGCUAUCAGAGAUGUGUUGGACAACUGAAGAACCACCGGAGACGUCAUGACAGUCGACUGAACUACCAUUGUCGAUUUUUGGAGCGGGAACGUUGAUGUGCAAGUUGUGAACAGAAGGAACUCUUGGUAAGGAUCUACACCGCCUAUUUAUUCCUUUUCUCCGUUCUUCCGACGAUUUGGCACCAGGUGUGUUGGUUGUGGCUGCCGCCGCCCGUUGGCCGCCGUAUCUAUGUAUUUCGGCGACAUUAGUUGUUGAAUAUUGGGUGGACUUUAUGUGUUGAGCAAUUUGCGGGCUGUUAUGGUGUUUUUGGGGGACGGUGACGUACUAUCUAACCGGAAAAUGAAGGGAAAGCCCACCACCACCACCAUAAGGUGGUGGCUACCACCCAUUAUUGUUUUAUGCCACCCUCCACCGCCACCAGCCGCCAUGAGAGGUGGUUGUAGGUGUGAUUAAGGGUUUGAUGUUGAGCAUAAGUGCUGAUUUCGAUAUUUUGGGGGUUAUAUGCGUGUUUAGGUGGCCGGAAAGCCCACCACCACCACCAUGAGGUGGUGGCCGCCACUGACCACCACUACCUAAGGUGGUAGUGGGUGGUGCUUGGCAUAGUGAACCCUAAUCGGCCCAAAAUGCUUGAUCUUGACUAGUUUGUUGAUGAUUGGACUAGAAAACCCUAAUUUUGGGUUUGUUAGUUAGUUUGGAUUUUACCGGGACCCGCGGUUGGACUGUUAAAUUGAUAUUCUUAAUUAUGCCUGACUUCUUUGUGUGAAUGGCCUAGUGGAGUGAUGGGCUUAAUUGGUUAAGUAAGCAACACUUAACCCUAAUCGUCAUUUUAUGUGAAAACCCUAAUUAUGGUUGGGCCUUUGUAUUGGGCUAUUGAUGGGCCAUCCAAGGACAACCAUGUGGACCAGCAUACUUAGAUGGGCUUUUGGGUAAGGCCCAUAUGAGAGUUGGGCCCAAUUUGAAAAAUUGGGCCAUAGUUGGGCCAUUAGUGGACUUUUGUGGACCCAUUUGGUAUUGCGCCUUAGUGGGCCCAUUGGGUUUCGGUUAUUUAUGGACUGAAUUGGUGGACCAUAUUUAGACCUACUAUGUGAAGGAUGGUCUUAGAGUCUUAGAUCCUAAUGGGGUUAAUUGUGGGUUUGGCUCAGUGUUAGAAGCUGGAGUACAGCAGCAACAUUUAUUGGAUCUGUUUGCCAUCUGAGGUGAGUCUUCUCACUAUACUUACCUGUGUGGUGAUUUGUGUGAGAUUGGAGGGUCUUAUUCGUGUUAUUGACUGGAGGGUCUUACUUACACUGUUGACCGGAGGGUCUCAGUAUAUUAUUGACCGGAGGGUCUUGGUACAUAUAGACCGGAGGGUCUUAGUACAUUAUCGAUCGGAGGGUCUUAUUUGUUUAUUAUGUGUUAUGUGUUAUCGUGCAUACUAUCUUUGUGACUUAUGCUGUUAUGGUAAUAUGUGUAUAUAUUGAUCUUAUAUGUUUAUUAGAGUACUGUGAUAUCCUGCAUUAUGUCUAUGUGAAUUAUGUUGUGUAUUUAUUAUGAGCUUACAGAGUUAGGACCGAAGGGUCCACAGCGUUAGGACCGGAGGGUCCACAGAGUUAGGACCGGAGGGUCCAUUAGAGUUGUGGGACUGGAGGGUCCCACUGAGACACAUUGACCGGAGGGUCUUACAGAGUUAUAGCCUCGAGUGGCUAAAGUGUAUUUGUGGUAUUUUGGGGAACUCACUAAGCUUCGUGCUUACCGUGUUAUGUGUUAUGUGUUUCAGGUACUUAUCAGGAUCACGGGAAGGCAUCGGCUUGAUUGUACACACAAGAUGGAGUUGUGUUCGAGGAUCUUGGAUUUUAUUCAACUAUAACAUAUGUUUAUGAUAAUUGAUAUAUUGAGAUUUUAUGAUAUGUGUUGAUGAUAUUAUUGUGAUUUUAAAAGUGAAAAUUUUUUAUGAAAAUUUACGGUGUUACAGAGUCGUUACGGAGAUCACCAAAAUGUUUAUGGAGAGAGCUUUUCUGCCUUGAGUAUGUCGUUUCAUAACAGGCAUAGAUGUCGCGAUACUUUAGUAUGCUUAAGACGAAUAUUCGAGGGUUUGUAUAUACUCAACAGUACUAGACCUUAAACGAGAUGCAGUCAAGCGCUAGGAAGAGGGAGAUUGAGUUGGAUAUUCAGCAAAAGGUAGGGGAACAACUUCCAGAAAGUAUCAGCUGGUAGCCAAGCGAGACAAGUCUGCCAACCCGUGUUUAGGAUCAGUUGAGGGGAGGAGUUCCGUGUGUGGAAGGUGCAGGAAGUUUCAUGAUGGAAGGUGCCGAUCAUUUUUAUGUCGCAGCAUGGCGAGGAGGGUCAUUUUGUCAUGGAUUGCAGGCAAAGUUCACGGGUUUGUUUCCAUUGCGGCCAUGAUGGCCACUUCAGGGCUUGUUGGUCGUUUCUAGUUUUCAGUGAGGUGUUGGACCCUACACCCCUAGCUUAGCAGUUACCUGAUGGUCAUUGUGGGGCAUCCGGAGACCGAGGUUUGUGUUGUCACUUCCUCUUUUUGGUCGAUUGUUGCAGUGUUGUUAUUCAUAUGUAUUUAUGUUUAUGUUUGAAGUUCAUUUGUCAUCUCGGAUAGUCAUUUGAAUGAAAUUAUCUUAUUUUUCUCUGUCAAAUUUGAUUUCUUAUUAUUAAUGGAUUAAUUAUCUUUUUCCUCGAUUUUAUGUGUGUUCGAAUUUGCGAAUGUUGUGUGGGUUCAGAUUUCCCAGUGUAUCUGGAUAUUAGUGGUCGGGAUCGUGUGUUAGAGUUCAAGUUAGUACGGGUAUCAAAGCAUUGUGCAGUUCCCAAAUUCUAGCAUAUUUCAAGUGAGGGAGAGUGGAACCUCGCAGCAGGAAGACCUUGUGCCAAGGUUCGGUUCUCAAUCGGAUUUCUCCAAGUCUAAGACUUCUGUGCAACUACCAAAUCUUUUGAUUUUGUGUUAAGAUAAUCGUCACCUGUUUUAUUCCCUUUGAGUCGUAUUAGUUUUAGUUGUUAUAGCAUCCAUAGAUCAUGCUUGUGCUUUAUACUCUAGGGUGUUAGAAGCCUAGGUUGAGGGAUGUGAUGAAGGCUUCCAUGUCUAUUCUUGUCUGAUUAGGGCAUGGAAGUCUGAGUCACGGCCAAAAGGUCUGAUUGGGAUAGUUAUGUCUUGUUGGGAUCGAUGUGCUUCUUGUUGGGCUACGAGUGCUAUUAUUGAUUAGUGGAUCGGGGGUAUGCCCGAGUGCUGUUGUCGGUUAGUGGACUGGGGGUAGGCCAAGUGUUGAUGAUAGAUUGCUAAGCAGAGUUGUCGCAGCCGGGUAGGAGUGUGGUAUAGUUAGUAUGUGACUGUUUGGUUUUCUUCGCAUUGGUGCAAUAUGUGCAUGAUUAACAUGAUAACGUUUGGCCAAGAAGCUUUUGGACCAAUCAAAUAUGCUGAUUCUCGGUCGGUUUAGUUGAGACGAGGGUUGCGUUCUAUUUUGGAGUCUAGGUUUGAUUGACUUGAGCCCAGGGUGUAACCAUUAUUGAUGAUGGUUUCAGAUGUUAGUAUUUCAGUGACCUCAAUCGCAUUGAAGGACUCGAGUUUGAAGGACCCUCAGGGGGAUAUACCACGAAGUGGAUCCGAGAACUAAUAUUGAGGACAAAAUCUAAUUUAAAUGGGGGAGAAUUAUAACAUCAUGUUUCCUCUAGUUUCUUAUUUCAUAGCCAUGUACCGGAAGUCAAUUGGGUACAAGCUUUUGGCCUUAAUGACUUCAAGUUUAGUUCUUGUGGAAAGAGGUAAUGAUGGUUAAGAUAUUUAACCCUUGAAUUGUGUUUUGGGCCAAAGGGUAGAAAUAAAAAUGUCAUAGGACGGGUUGUUGCAUGAAAUAUGGAUUUUUGUUCGACAAGUUUAUAGUCUAAGAUAAUUAGAUAAUAUUUUCGGGUUCUUCAAUACCUUUCCAUGCAUAUAAAGAUAGUUGAAAACAUAGUUGGACGAAAGAAGUAAUGAUUGUUAGAAGUUAGGAGGUUUUGGGUUUAUGCUAGUACGUUGGACGUAUAGGGUGUGCGAUGGGCAUACUAAGUAAUGAUAAUUGCGAAGAUUUAACCUGGUACGCUGGGCGUACCAGGAUUACGAUGGGCGUACGUGAUCAGAACCCAAACCCUAAUUUUGGGGUUUUGAGCCCUAUUUAAACUCUUUAUCUUCUCCAAACCAUUUCCCUUCUCAUCCUUCACCUCUCAAAUGUCCUCCCUUGAAACCCUAACCCUAGUUUGAGCCUUGUGAGGAAAAGAAUGUAGUUUUAGUGCUUUGGAGUGUUCUUGGUGAAUCUUGUAGAAGAAUGAGCGCAUUGGAGAAGUGUCGGUUGCAUUGGAGCUUUUACAUCGAGUCCUUGUUCACCUUGAUCUUUUUUCUAGAGGUAUAAAGCUUAAAUUUUGAUGAUGCAUUUGUUAUAUAUAGCUAGUUUUGUAUCUUAUGAGGUCUUGGUCACUUUAGUGCAAAAAGUUUAGAUUUUGAAAGUUUGUGACCUUGUUAUGGAUAAAGUUGGAAACUUUCUACAUUUUACCAUCAUAUUGAUUCAGAUCUGAAGGUUUGAGACUUGAACUUAAUGGAUUAAUUUGAGAAAGAUGCACGUUUGGUCCCUUUGAAACUUAAUGACUAGAUCUUGGUUGUUUGGACCAUCAUAAUGGAUAAAAUUGGAAACUUUAUCCAUUAUGGAGCUAUUAGGAGCUAUAAAAAUGUAAUAUUGGUAUUUGUAUCCCUUCCAUGCAAGAGUUAUGAUGUCUUAAUGGAAUAAGAAGUUAGGGUUUUAGCUUUUGCACCUUUUCUAUCCAUGAAGAUUCAUAAAGGUGGAAACUUUCUGACUAAAGUCGAUGUUCUGAGUCUAGAUCUGAGUUCUAGACAAAAGGCCUUAAUGGAUAAAGUGUUUAAUGUAGGAGUGAGGACAGGUUGCGUAUGUUGUGUGUAAUCAGCAACCUUAGAUCUUUACAUUCAUUAACCAUUAAAUUUUUGACCAAGUUUGACCAUGGUCCAAACUUGAUGAUUUUGGGAUAUUAAUUAAGAGUCUAUCUGGUUUUGGUGUUAGUGGAUUCGCAAGUUCAAGCAGUACAGAAAAUGGAUCGUGUCAUAGUGUUUCAGAGUUCUUUGAUUCAGGCGAGUUUUCCUCACUAUACAUGUGGAUCGAAGACACCAAUACCGACCCACUAGGUUGUGCAUCCUAGUAUAGAGGAUGUUGUUAUGUUGUGGUGAUAUGUUAGAUCUGUAUCAUGGUAUAUAAGAUGUUAGUAUGCUAUAAUGAUCUGCAACAUCUGUGUAUAUAUACUUAUAUGAUAGGAUGUUGUACUAGUGGUAUAUUGGUUCUCAUCUAGCGGAGUGCCCUAGGGGCUGUAUGUAGUCAUGUAGGAUAGCCUGAGAACUAAUGAUCUAGGACUUCUUGCAUCUUCCUUGUUUGUUUGUGGAUCGAGAGUGGGAUCAUCUAUUCGGGUGGCUAUCUCACAUUUGGUUAAUUAUGGUUACAAAUUUCAUGGUGGUUAGCUAGUAGCGGUGUUAGGGUGAAAAGCUCUACUUGGAUGUGGCUUACCCUCUUAUGAUGCGUAAUGGGUUGAGUCUUUCCUAUAAAUAGGAAGUGAGUGACUCUUAUUUAUGUAAGAACCACAAUGGAACCUGUUUAGGAGAUUGUCUUGUGAGGGAAUUUACGUUAGCCACUUGUAAUCUUGCUAUUCUAAUGGAGCUUAGAACAAUCUUAUUUACUCUUGGUCUUCUUCAAGAUUGAUUGAUUCACUUGAUCCUUACAAUUCCAAAUAUGUCAACAAAAUUGGGUCACUACAAUUGUUAUUAGAGCGGGUGUUCUUGAAGUGUGCUUGAAGUUUUCAAGAAUUUGAUCCAUGAUGACAACAUGCUUUGGUGAAUCUCAAAUUAUUGUAAGUUCUUCAUCUUUGAGUGUGUUUUUUAUUCUAGAAAUCGAAUUAGUUUUUCGAUCUUCAUUCAAAUUUGAUUUUCUCUCUCUAGAAUUCAUGUGAUUUUUGUUUUCUCUCUCUAAAAACACAUGUCAAAAUAACUUUCUCUCUUUAUAAUUUUGAUCAAAUUUUCUUUCUCUCUUUAGAAAGUCAUUCGAAGUUACUUUCUCUCUUAGAGAUUUCAUUCAUAAUCACUUUCUCUCUAUAUAAUUAUCCAAGUUUUGUGAUCUUUAUUGUUAAUUGAUCAAAGAUGGUGUGUUGGGAUUAUGAUUUUUGGAUCGUGAUAAUUGAAGAUGUUAAAUACAAAGUCAAUGAGAAACAGUUUUAUGGAUUAUUAUUGAAACACGAGUUUAUUACAUGGAAUUCUUUAAUCUCUUAUGGAAAUAAGAAAGAUGAUUUUGGAAAAUUGAUGUUUCAAUCACUUUGUAAGUUGAAAUUUUGGUUGAAAUUUCCAUGGAUAUGUUAUCUUGCUGUAGUAAUCAAAAGGAAGGAAAAUAAACAGAAUUAUUCAAAAAGGAAUAUGUUUCUCUUAUUGAAGACCCAAAUGAUCUUCAUGCUCUUGAGUUUGUUGAAUAUGUUGUUGAAGAAGUUCAUCAUGCUCAUGAUUUUCAAGAAAAGGGAAUUCAAUGUGAUUUUCAUGAGGUUGUGAAAGUUUUUUUGUUCAAUAGGAGUUGAAACCGAUGAUUGCUUGAGUUCUUUUAAUUUGUUUGAAUGAAUGGUGCCAUAUAGAAAGCCCUCAAUCCAAGAAAUUCAAAUGUAUCAAACUCCAAAAUAUUUGAUUCAAAGUUGCCAAGUUCAAGUUGAGAAAAAUGAAUUUGUUCUUGAAUUCAAAUCUUCAAGAUCCAAAAGAUGAAGAAGAAAAAGAAGAAGAUCAAAAACAAGAAAAUUUGGGUUUGUAAACAAAAUUCUUCAAAUGUUGUCUUGAAGUCAAAAUCAAUGAAGGAAAUUUGGGUACCAAAGCAACAAUAAUCAAAUGUUGAAAUGAUUUCAAAUUCCAAACGCAUAAUUGUUGAAGAUUCUCAAAUUCGUUAUGAAGAUGAAGAUAGAUCUUGGAGAAAUGAGAAGUUUCAUGGAUUCUAUAGUGUGCAUCAUGGGUGGUACAAUGUGCAGUUGGAUAAUUUUCUAAUUCCUACCAAGGACCAAGAUCUUCAAUGAUUGAUUCGAGUAUUGCAAAUGGAAAAAGAAUUAUCAAGAGUUUCUCAAGUUCACAAAUAGAUUCCAAAAAAUUCAUGUUGAGAUUGAUACCUUGAUUUUGAAGAUCCGAUGAUGAACGAUUAAGGUUUUCUCGAAAUUCAUAUUCAAUCAUAUUUUGAUUAUUUUCAAUUCGUGCUUUCUUUAUUGAUUUUUGAUCAACUUGACUCACUGGAUCAAAUUUGUUUCAACCUGAUUGUUAUGAUCAACUACAUUUUUUAUAUCAUGCCCAAAAAAAAAAUCUCAUGAUCUUCUUAUUGUUCAUUAAAUCCAAUGUUAAGCCCAAAUCUCAAUCUUAUUUUUUUUGUUUGAUCGAUCUCAUACUGUUCAUCUAUACAUUCUUUUGAGCUCAAACUUGGUUCGAUACUGUUCAUUGUCCAAGACUCCAAGUUCGAGCCCAAAUCCUUGAUGAAAAAUCUCAAUUACAAUCUUAUUUUUUAUUCAGUUCAUACCGAUUCAACUGAUAUUUCAUUCAAACAUCACGAUUUAUGUUUUAUUUAUUCUUAUUUCUUCACAUCGAAUCUGUUUUAUCAGUUAAUCUCAUCAACGUUGUUUUUGAUUCACAAUAAUGUAUCGAUUAAUUGUUCUUGGUUUACCUGUUAUCGAUCAUAUUUCAAGCUUCAUCUCAUCAAUUCAUUUUUUGUGAUUGUCUCAGCAAUUGAUUUCAUGAGAUUGUUCGAUCUUGAGUAGUGAAUACUUUUCAGUAAUUUUCCAAUUGUUCCAAUUGAAAACAAAGUUUCGACUUUGCUAUUGAAUGAUUAAAGGGAUGAUUUCGAACAAUUGAGAAGUUACGAACGAAUAGGAUGGUCGAAAAUUCCAAUUCGAUGGGAACAAUGAUUUUUGUUGCUUAACUUAUGGAUUUUGGUAUAUCAAAGGGAUGAUUACGAGUUGCGAUUUUGAUAGUCGCAGGGUUGGAAUCGAAAUCAAGAAUUGUGGCAUCGAAUCGAGUUGAAUUUCUACUGAUGUUGCUGGUUGAUUCGAGUCAAGAAAUAAACUUUAACAUUGAAGUCGAAAUCGAAUUCUGUUGAUGUUGUUGUCUUUGUUUGCAUCUGGGAUUGAUUGGAAUCAAAAACAUGUUUGAUUGGAGUUUAUUAGCGUCGAAUAUGAAAGAUUUGAAUUUCGAUUUUAGGAUAAUGAGUCGUAAGUCAUUGACUUGGAGUCGAAAUCAAUUUCUAUUGGUAUUGUUGUUGAUUAGAGUCGAACGUGGGUUUGAUGGUCGAACACAUAUGUAGUCGAAAUUGAUUUGUGAUUAAUCGAAAUUUCGAAUCGAGCAUCUAGGAAUGGUUGUUUGAGUCGUUCGAGUCGAGAGAAUUGAUUUCGACAAUAUUCGUUUGGGAUUCAUGGUCGAAAACACAUUACAUGGAGUCAAAAUCGGAUAGGUCAAUAUUGUGUUCGAUGGGUAUGAUUUGGAGUUGAGAUCGAAUUCGACUGACGUUCUUUGUUCGUAUCUGGAAUCAAAAUGGGGAAGAAAACAAUUUUCACAUUCGAGUCCUUAUAGUUUCAACAAGUUGGCAGAAAAUACCCAAUUUUGAUAUGGGGUUAAUUUUUUGAGAAGAGUGAAGAUGUUGUAAUUCGAAUCCCUGAAGUUUAAGCAAUUUGACAGUUUAUAACCAAUUUCGAAUUGGUUGUAUAAUUCUGCGAUGUGGGAAGAAUUUUCAGAUUCAGUCCCUACAGUUGAUGCGAAUUGACACUUUAUGUCUAAUUUCGCAUUUGGGGUAAAGUUUCGCGUUUGAAGCCGAUUUCUCGCAACCAGUCCUUACAAAAUUUGCAAAAUUGACAGUUAUUACCCAAUGUACGAAUUUGUUGCAACUCUCACCCAAAAUUCGAAAUCUUCACAACUUUUGAAGAUUUUUCCUAGACUUUUUGUGAUUGUUUUUCAUGCAAGAUUUUAGUGGUUGCAUUUUUAUCACAUUUUGAAAGGGAGUUUCAUCAUCGUUAUUCUUCGAGCACUUCUCAUACCCUUGUGGGUUUUAUAAUCAUUUGUUGAUUAUAAAAAUUAGGAGAAUGUUGAAAUGGGUAUUCGAAGAUAAUUGUAUAUUUUUUUUCGAAGUGGAUUUGACAACUGAUGUUAGUUCGAGGGGGAGUUGGGUCGUGACCACUUAGAGCUCCUUUGGAAUUUGAAGCUGGGACAUCUAAUUGUAACUUUGAGGGGGAGAUUGUUAGGGUACAAAGUUCUCCAUGGAUGUGGCUUACCCUAUUGUGAUAUGUAAUUGUUUGAGUCUUUCCUAUAAAUAGGAAGUGAAUGACUUUUAUUUAUGUAAGAACCAUUACGGAACAAAUUUGGAGAGAUUAGACUAGUGAGAAAAUUAUUACUUACCCACUUUGUAAUAGCUUACUAGAUCUAAUGGAGCUUAAAUAGAUUUUAUUUACUCUUGCUGUUAUUCAUGAUUGAUUGAUUCACUUGAUCUUUACUAUUUUGCACAUGUCAUCAUAAUCGGGUCACUACAAGCGGGAUAGUCUGAUGUGAGAGGACUAGUAGGCGGUAAUGAACUGUGUGAUUGAUGUUGCCUAUUAGCCUAUUGAUUGAUUAUAUGAAUAGUUGUUUGCUGAGUAUAUGUUAUCUAUUAUGUAUAUGUUGACAUAUUGUGGUUGGGUUGAGCUCUACUACUUUGUGCAGUCAGUCAACAAACCCGGAGUAAUCAAACCUGGAGGUUGUGGGCUAGGGAAAUCCAACCAGGAGGUUGUGGAAUAGGGUAGUACAACCAGGAGGUUAUGGACCCAGUAUGCAAUAUGUGUGACAAUGCAACUAGGAGGUUGUUGUCCAGGGCACCCAACCGGGAGGUUGUGGGCCAGGGUAAUCCAACUGGGAGGUUGUGGACCGAACAUGCAAUAUGUAUAUCUGUGUGGGUGUGUGUGUUAUUUUGGAGGGAAACUAACUAAGCUUUGUGCUUGCCCGGUUGUUAAAUUUUUUUUUUACAGGUUUUAUCAGUGAUCAUCGGAAGGCAAAUUAGGGACUGUACACACCCAUCAGUAGCAUUGAGGAUUCUGUGUUUGUUAUAUUACUCUGGUUUUCAAUAAAUGUACUCUGGAAUAAAUGUUUUUUCUUAAUAAUGGAUUUAUAAUUGGGAAGGUUUACUCUAAUAAAAAUGAAAAUUUCUGGUUGUGAAAAUAGGACAUUAAAAUUUAGUACUUUGUUGAUUUAUUUUCCUUAGAGUUUUUAGAAGUAGUGGUGUGUUAUCCCAUAUUUAGUGCUCCAUAUUCCUUGUAAUCUUUAUAAGGCGUGUGAUAAUUUGUCUUCAGUUAAUUCUAGCAAUAGCAAACACCCUUAGUGUGUGUUUUCCAUAUGUGAAAAGUCUUUAGCUUCCUAUGUGGUUUAUCUUCAUAGUACAUUCAAAGAGCUUUGUGUGUGUGUUGUCCAAGGCCUCUAGUUGGAUAACAAAGUGGUAUCAGAGCACUCGGUCAUGGAAAAAAUGCAGGUGGCUGGUGGUGUGAAGAAGCUUAAUCAAAGAAACUACAACAUGUCUUACAUGCAAGUCCAUGAUCUUUGGGAGGUUGUAAAAGGGGCGGAAAAAAAUCAACGUGAAGAUGAAGAUAACAAUCGUGUACUAAGUAAGUGGAAGAUAAAGGCAGAGAAAGUGAUGCUUGUGUUGAGGAAUACCGUGGAAGAAGAAAUGUUAGAACAUAUAAGAGAUGCUGCUACCCCAAAAGAAGCAUGGGAAACCUUGAUUACAUUGUUUUCCAAGAUGAGUGAUACAAAACUCCAGAUGCUUGAGAAUGAUUUGAUGUCAAUGUCUCAAAAGGAACUGUUGAUUCCCCAAUACAUUCAUAAAGUGAAGGUUACAUGCAAAAAGGUUGGAGAGAUAGAUCUUUUGGCUCUUGUCGAUGAAGAAAGGAUAAAAAGGAUUGUCAUACAUGGUUUGAAGAAGCCUGAAUUCCAAUGUUUUUAGUAGUGAUUCAAGGAUGACCAAUCCAACCCUCCUUAGUAGAGUUUGAAAACAUGUUCGCAGCAUAAGAAACUCUAGCAAAGCAGAUGGGGGGAGGUACUUAUAAAACUUCAGUAGAAGCUAUUUAUGCUGAGAAAAGUUGAACAAAGUUCAAGGGAAUUUCGAGUCAAAAAUUCAAGCUAUAUGAAGAUAAUAUGAAAAGUUAUGAUUCUCAAGGAAGAGGUCGUGAUUUGAAUAAAGAAGAUAAGAGUAAGCGUCAUUAUAACAACAAAUGUUUUCCAUUAAAUGAUACAAUUAUGGUGGAAAGAAUAACAUAGCCCAAAAUUGUCCUAUAAAAGAAGUAUAAAAGGAGAAUGUUGCAACCACUCAAGAGGAAGAGCCUUUAGACGUAGAAGUUCUUAUGGCUCAAGUUAGUGAGGAUGACGCAUUCAAUGCUACCACAACUGGUGAGAGCAAAAAAUAGAAUAACAGAAUAUAGAUUUCGGGUUCUAACCACGUGAUAGGAGAAAGAAAAGGUCACAAGAUCCAGUUAAAUUUGAAGGAAGUAGGGUCAUGGUCAUAGGCAACAACUCUAAACUCCCUAUAACCCAUAUAGGCGAUGUUGUGUUUUCACUAGAAGAAAGAAAUCAUGACCUAGCACCACACGGGGUGUACGUUACCCCAAGAAUGAGGAACAAUCUACUCUUAGUUUCUUACUUAGGCUUUGCAUAAAAUCAUGUGGUUUUUACACCUUAUGAUGUCAAGAUAUAUGCGAAGUUUGAAACUCCAUUUGUACAUGUGAUGAAAAGGCAUCUAAACACAAUCAAUAUAUGUCAUGUUAGCAGAAAUAACUUAUGUAUAAAGAACUAGGAGGAACGAAACUAGUGAACUGUGGCAUAUGAGAAUGAUCCAUGUAAGCUAUGACAAGUUAGAUAUGAUGAUGAGAAAGAAACUUGUUACAGGGCUGCCACAAUUAGAAGUGAAUAAGGAAACUAUUUUUGUUGGGUGUCAAUAUAGAAAGGCUUGCCAAAACCCCUUUGAGAAGUCAAACUUUAAAGUUAAAAAACCCUUAGAGCUUAUUCAUUCGGAUGUAUUUGGACUUACGAAGCAACCAUUAGUCAAAGGUAUAAGGUACAUGAUAACUUAUAUCGAUGACUAUUCAAAAUUUGUGUGGGUGUAUUUCAUGAAAGAAAAGGCAGAAGUAUUGCAAAGGUUCAAAGAUUUUAAAGAAAAAGUAGAAAGAGACUAGAAAACGUGUUAUAAUGUUUUUACAUUUAGACAACAGAGGUGAGUAUCUCUUAACUAAUAUCACUAACUACUUGAAAGAACACAAGAUCAAGUGACAACUGACAUGCCCAAACACACCCCAACAAAAUGGGGUCCCUGAAAGAAAGAACAGGCACUUGGGUGAAAUACGUAGAAUCAUGCUACAUGAUAAAAAUGUAUCCUGGAGGUUUUGGACUAAAGCCAUGCAAACAUCUGCAUAUGUUUUAAUUGAAUUCCACCACAAGGACUCAAAUUUGUGUCUCUUUUUGGACUACUUUGGAAUGUGAAACCCACUGUAAGUCACUUUCAAGUAUUUGGGUGUGUAUGCUAUAUAUUCAUACCUAACCACCUUUGCAGCAAGUUAUAAAAGAAAUCAAUUGAAUGGAUAUUUUUAGGAUAGGACAAUGAUAGAAAAGGGUGGAGAUGCUGUGGACUAGAGUAUGGAAAGUGCUAUAUAUUAUGUAAUGUAGUGUUUAAUGAAUUUUCAUCUUGGUAAUUUCCAAACAAAGAAAACCUCCCAAACUCCAGCAAGCUCAAGGAAGAGAUGGAGUCAUCAAGUGUUGACUUUAUUCUUGGUAAUGAUCAGGUUACAAUUGUAGAAAAAGAAAUAGUUGCACAGAGACAACAGCCUUGGUAAGCCGGAAUGUUUCGCCUCAUUGCUGAAAAUGAAACAUCGGAUGAAAUGGCCAGUAUAAGAAGAUUAUCUCGUAUAAGGAGACCUAACCCCAAAUAUGCAAACAAUGCUAUUGUGGUAGAUGUUGUAACUGAGCCGGUAACCUAUAAUCAAGCUUGUGUUAAGGAAGAAAGGGUUUCAUCAAUGGGAGAAGAAUACGAAGCUCUAAAAAGAAACCAAACUUGAGAGUUGACUCCAAAUCCAAGUAAUGCAAAUCUAAUUUCAUGGAAGUGGGUAUAUAAGGUGAAACGGGAUGCAUAUGGAUCAAUAGAACGAUACAAGUAGAAACUGGUUGCACGGGGAUUUUCCUAGGAAUAUGGCCUUAAUUACGAAGAAAAUUUCAGUCUCGUUGCAAAGUUAACAACAAUGAAGAUCUUCGUAGCUCUUGCAUCAAUCAAGAAAUGGAAACUAUGGAAAAGGGAUGUUAUUAAUGUGUUUCUCAAUGGAAAUUCAGACUGUACUAUAUACAUGGAUCAACCAUUAGGAUUUGUGAGCAAUGUACAUCCUAACCAUGUAUGUAUGCUCAAAAAAGCUCUUUACGGGUUGAAACAGUCGCCUAGGGCAUGGUUUGGAAGAAUAGCAUAGUUUCUUAAAACUAAUGCAUAUAUUAUCACUUCAACAUAUUCUAGUUUAUUGGUGAAGAAAAAGGAAGACAAGGUGGCUAUUGUUGUUUUUAGUAUAUACAUAAGGUCUUAAACACCAUUUUGUUUGUGCAAGAGUAUAGCUAUAUGGGUGCAAGAGUAGGUAAUUGCCCACCCCACACAAAUUUGAGGUGAUUUCCCCGUUUAUUAGGUUCACAUAUUAAUUUUUUAUUAUUAUCUUAAUUAAUCAGUUACUUCAAAUUUAAAAGAACAAUUUACUUUAAAAUAAUACAUUGCUACAUUUUAUUACAAUUAGAAAUAUUUUGCUACUUGUUUAUGUUUUGUAAAUUAUUUGGUCUACCCUAAAACAAAAUUCUAGCUACGCCACUAUGUUUGUGGUUUAGCCAAUUGUAUGAGAUAAUUUUGUAGCGCUCCCCAUAAUUUUUUUAAUUACAUUUGUGUCAGAAAUGCUAUGGAAAAUUAGAGCUCAAUUUUUUCGAAUAUGUUUCCAAAACGUUGUCACCAAUUAGUGUCACACUUAGUUUUAGUCGGAAAUGCCUCUGAAUUCCACAAAAAUGAGUUGUGUGGGAUGUCUGUUGGUACAUCACACAACAUAUAUUUUUCGGAAAAUUGUCUACAGUUUCCUCAAAAAAUGAUCGUAAAAAGUUUCCUAUGACUAGUUUUCCGAAGAAUAUAUUUUUGACGAAAAACUAUCGCCUAAAGUUGUUUCAUACACAUUUUUGACAAUAUAAUUUUGUAGUAGCGAGUAAAAAAUAUAAUUUUUUUAUCAUCAUACAUUAUAUAAUAAAUCACAUGAAAAGUUUAUAUAAAUUUUUUCCUAUGACAAACAAAACAUGUUUUUUUAUAAGUAGAAACACAUUUAACUAAUGGAGUUGUAGAAAAUAUAUAACACAAAUAUAGAUCUAAAAUGCUUUUCUAUAGGUGGAAACAGGAUGAAAAACUUUUGAGCUUAUAAAACUUUUAUUGUGAAAGAAUAAAGUUGCCAGAAGACCUAAGUAUUAAAAAUAACUAUAAGACGUAACUCUUGAUAAGGGAUGGACUCAAUAUUUUUUAUUUUAAUCUACUUAUGUUUACUAAUCAAGUGUUAUCUUGCUUUUUGGAACAACAUUAAAUUUUAUAAAGAUAAAAGCUAAUGAAAAAAAAAUAGUAAAUUCAAAGAAGUUAAGCAAACAACAAAAUAUAAGCUAUAAAUAACCUAUUUUAUUCAGAGACGAUUGCUCGGUUGUUUGAUAGUUUGUGGUGUAGAUUUUUUUUGGGGUGUUUAGAAUGGAGAAAAAAAUAUUACUUGGAUCAAAUGGGACAUGACGUCAAUAGAAAAAUAAAAAUGGGGUUUAGAUGUCAUGUAACACCCGUGUUUCUAGGCUAGGCAUUAACGAUGAUGUAAUAGUCUAGGUCAACCUUUCUAAUUUGUUUUGAAAUAAUAAAGAUGUAUUACUUGAGUAUUAUGUGUUUAUACUUAAAAUAAGGAUUCCAGAAAUAUAAAGAAUAUCGAAAUCAGAGUUAUAACGAAGAAGUUAUGACAUGUCGAAGUUUCGCGACAGAACUGACAAAAUGUUGUAUGACGUAAAAAGUGAAUUUAUGAUAACUGCUUUUUAGCAUUAGUGAUCUAAACGAAAUUCGCAGUAUACAUUAAAGCGAGAGCGUGCAUAAAAAAUACCAAAAUCUGACUUCGUAUGAGGAAAUUAUGAUUUUUCUAAGUUUUAGCUUAGUUAUAUGCAGCCUGAAACUCAAAUUUUAGAUUGAGUGGUUUUUAGGCAAAACAACAUAAAUGAGAAUCGAAGAUCUUGUUCAUAGUAGUUCAAUGGUAAAAAGACAAACAAAAACGGACGUCGUAUGAAGAAAUUAUGAAUUUUUAAUGAACUUUUCAUGUCCCGGCCUAUUAAAAAUAUAAAUUUAAAAAUAAAUUCAAAAUUAGCCGACAGAGUGUAAACGAAAGUUGUAGAGCAUAGUCUCACCUACGUGUGGAUAUAAAUAACAUCACAAAUGGAGCUCGUAUGUCAAAGUUACGAAUUUUUGAAUUUUGAAAAUUCGGAGUAUUCCCAACGUACUAAUGUUCACGGUCCGAGAUUGGCCACGUAGCUCUACUUUUCCGCAUGAGAAACACAUGUCCUAGCCUUCAUGUGUCUGAUAUGAUCCUUCCGUAUGCCCAACGUACUCGAUGUACACCCAACCUACUGGCUGAAGAAGGAGUACGCCCAGCGUACUCUAAACUUACGCCCAAUGUAACUCAUGUAUCCAGCCACUAUAAAUAGCGAUUGAUGCCAUCCGAUUUUAGGUUACAACCUUCAUCCUCUCACCCCUAUACUUUCUUCUAUAUUGCGAAAAUUACCCCCCAAGCCUAUUUUAUCAUCCUAGCAUGAUAAGCAAGAACCGAAGAGCCCGAAGAUCCCGAUAAAAAGAGUUUUCGAGACAAAACUCUGCCCGCGUGAAACCUGAGUAUUGGGAAAACAUCCCGGUUUUAUCGGAUACGAUCGCUUUAAGAAAUGAAGUGUUGCCCGAUUAUUGUUAUAUCAAGUGAGUGAAUAUCCACUUUAUUCUUACACAUAGAUAUGAAGUAUUUUCUAUAAAAUACGUGCAAUGUGUAUAUAUGUUGUUUGUUUAUUCGAGAUAGGUGUUGAAUGGAUAUUUUACACAAGUUUUAAACUAUAUAUGUAUUUUUAUCUACAAAUAUGUUGGGUAAAAUAUGGGUAGAUGAAAUAGUUAAUGUGUGUUAAAAUGAUGAGAGGUCUCGAUGUUGUUGGUGUAGUCAUCUAGCAGAGUAUAGAUGACGACCACAGACCUUUCUAGACAGUCCAGUGGAACGCUAGCAGAAUCGCAACCUGUAGGUGUUGGUGAACUAUAUGUUCGCUGGUGUACUCCAUUCCUCUCAUGGUUGCCUUAUUUGACAUAAAUUGCUGAGGAAUCCCUAAAGCAAUGUUGUCACCCCGAUGAAAAUCUUUGGACUAUGUCCCUUGUGAUAGGUGUUUAGGGACGUAAAGUGAGGAUGACAGGAAUGGGUAAUCAGGGUUAUUGCUGGUUCAUGAAAUUAAUAAAUUUAUUGUUGGUUGAUGGAAAUUAAUAAAUUUAUUAUUUGUGUGUUGAAAACCCUAUAUGCUCACCAGGCUCCCAAGCCUGACCAACUCAGCUUUUUAUAUAUUACAGGGAGUGGACACAGAGCAUAGUUGGAUGACGACGAGGGAUUUUUGGAUUAUAGGCCAGUAGAUUUAAAUAACUGUUGUAAGGCUUAUAAUGUAUUGUUUAUGCUUUUGGUCUAUAUCGAAACCUGACAUCCUGAGGUUUUCUUUUAUAAUGAAAAUACAUUUCUUUAAGAAAUGUUUUAAUAAAUUGUAAGAACAUAAUUUUCGAAACAAUUUUUUUUCAUUUUUCAACAACCAAAUUCAUAUAAAAAUAUUCUCAAAAGUAUCCAACAAUAGUUAUCAAAUCAUAGUAUAUCCCAGGAUAACCAAAAUCAAAUCCUCUCUCUAGUCUGUACGGAUCACGCCAACGCCUUUCCACGGUCCUCGCUAGUACUUGAAACACAUAACACAACAACUGUAAGCAUGAAAGCUUAGUGAGCUCACCAAAAUACCACAUACAACACAUACGUCACUCGAGGCUAUAGCAUGACCCUUCGGUCGAUGUGUCUCAGCAGGACCCUCCAGUCUCGUAGCUCGUUGGAUCCUCUGGUCUGGUCAUAGCUCGUUGGACCCUCCGGCCCGGUCUGUAUCGUUGGACCCUCCGGUCCGGUCUAUAAAAUCAUACAACAUACAUAUAUCACAUAGCACAUAAUCUCAUAUAUAACACAUAAGAACCUCCGGUCAACACAUAAAUACCACCCUAGGUAACGUAUAGUGAGAAGAUUCACCUCGUGUAACUCGGUAACUCGGAAAUCUCUAACUCAGAGAUAUAAGACCUAGCCUCCGCCUAAUCUUAUGAAAUAAUCACUUGUCAUCAACAUAAUUCUCAAGGGUAGACCAUUUCCUCUAAUCACUCUCAGGAGAGGUAAAAGACCAUUUUACCCCUUACUUGGCUCAAAUACAUUAAAGUUGACCAAACCCUAAAAGUCAACAAAAGUCAACCCUCCGGGUUACGCUGCGCGUACCAAACGUGUACGCUGGGCGUACCUGGAGCCUUCACAGAAUCGGGGUACGUGGCCCCUUACGUCGUGCGUACUGGGAUUACGCCCAACAUAAUACCUAGUUUCCUUAUUUGUCUCAUUCAGGUCUUAAACGGUUAAGUCUUUCAUCCAAAAUUCAUAUCUGACUCCUCAAACAUGACUUAAUCCAUAAAGUUGAAACCUUUAAGCCUAUGCAUGGCUGUGAAGGUCACUUUGUCCUCAAAACACCUUUCCUCUUUCCAUAAUGAGACUAUAACUCAUGCAUGACACAAGAUCCACGUCCAAGACUGGAUUUUUAUGAAUCCUUAACACCAUAUACACUAGAAAAGGUCAGAUCUAAACUCAUGGAGACUCUUUGCACAUAAAGUCUCCAACUUUGAACCAAAAACCCUAAAAAUGGUCCAAAAAGCAAAACUUAUGAACAACAAAGAAAGCAAUGGGCUUUUUACCCCGGAUCUACACUUGUUCUUCAACGUCUAGCUCCAAUAAUGGCUCCUACUUCUCCUUCUUUACCUUGAAAAGGUAACUUCAAGCUCAAAACACACUCACAAGCUAAAGCAUGGAUUUCAGCUCUCUAAGGACUCACUCAAGGGGGUAUGGAGGCUAGGGAAAAGGACUACAUGUUCCUUUUAUAGUGCACAAGACCGAAAUUUAGGGUUUGCAUCUGGGCUCACUACACCCAGCGUAACCCCUGGGUACGCCCCGUGUACCCGGGCGAGUCCGUGUUCAAAUUAAGUGCGCGAGUACGUGUGGCGUACAUCUGAGUACGCCCAGCAUACUCACUAAUCUCACAUACAACUUUAAGGGCCUAAUUUGAUAACUCUCCAAAUUAGAAGGAUCAUAAAGCUUACUUAUAUUCCGGGCUAUUACAAUUCUCACCCACUAGAACCAGACUUCGCCCUUGAAGUCUCAUGUUGUGAACAACUCCGGAUGCUGCUCCAGCAUCUCCGACUCUGGCUCCCAGGUCAGCUCGGACCCUUUUCGAUGUUGCCACUGGACCUGAACCAGGGGCACUUCCUUUUUCCUCAGAACCUUGAUCCUUCGAUCCAAGAUUGCGAUCGGCUUCUCAGCAUAAUUCAGACACGCAUCCACCUGGAUCUCUUCCAAUGGUACCACCACCGACUCAUCGACAAUACACUUCCUCAGUUGCGACACGUGGAAGGUAUCAUGAAUCUGCUCCAACUCGGCAGGUAGCUUCAAGCGAUACACUACUUUACCCACUCUUGCGAUCACUCUAAAUGGCCCAAUAUACCGGGGUCCCAGCUUGCCCCUCUUCCUGAAUCGGAUCACUCCUUUCCAAGGAGACACCUUCAGGAGCACGAAAUCACCGACCUGGAACUCGAGCUCAGAUCGUUGUCUAUCCGCAUAACUCUUCUGGCGACUCUGAGCGGUCAACAACCUCUGUCUCACCUACUGUAUAUGCUCUGUCGUAUCGAGCACAAUCUCCGUACUACCCAUCACGUGUUGCCCUACUUCUCCCCAGCAUAUGGGGGUCCGGCACCUCCUCCCAUACAACAGCGCAAAAGGUGGCAUACCAAUGCUCAAGUGAUGGUUGUUAUUGUAGGAAAACUCAGCCAACGGAAAAUACGUGUCCCAACUUCCACCAAAAUCCAAUACACAUGCUUGAAGCAUGUCCUCGAGUGUCUGAAUCGUCCGCUCACUCUGUCUGUCCGUCUGUGGGUGGUAUGCGGUACUGAAAUGCAGCCUCGUAUCCAACUCCUCGUGAAACUUCUUCCAAAAUCUGGAAGUAAAUCGCACAUCUCGAUCUUAAACAAUCGAGAUUGGAACUCCAUGCCGCGAUACCACCUCCCUCACAUACAGCUCUGCCAGCCUCUCAGCAGAAGAGCUCUCACUGAUAGCAAGAAAGUCAGCGCUCUUCGUCAACCUGUCCACAAUCACCCAAAUUGCAUCAACACCUCUAGCAGACCAUGGUAACUUGGUGAUAAAAUCCAUGGUAAUCUGCUCCCAUUUCCACUCGGGAAUCUCUAAUGGCUUCAUCUUACCAUGUGGACGCUAGUGCUCGGCCAUAACCUUGCGACAGGUCAAGCACCUCUCUACGAACCAUGCAACAUCCCUCUUCAUACAGGGCAACCAAUACUCCUUCUUUAGGUCCAAAAACAUCUUAGUAGCCCCGGGAUGGAUCGAGAACUUCGACCUAUGGGCCUCCUCCAUCAAGAUGGUACGCACUCCGCCCACAAACGGUACCCAAAUCCGGCCCUGAAAAGUCAUAAGUCCUCGACUAUCGGUAACGAACUCCGAUAUAUGCCCGAUCACCCGCUCCCUUUUGCGGUUCUCCGGUCUCAUGGCCUCCGCCUGGGCCCCUUGAAUGGUUUCCAACACCGGAGUCAUCACUGUCAACCUCAUACAAACGUCUCAAAUCGGGGCGCUUUCCGCCCUGCGGCUCAAAGCAUCGUCUACAACAUUAGCCUUGCUCGGGUGGUACAAGAUCUCACAAUCAUAAUCCUUUGCCACAUCCAACCAUCUCCUCUGGCGCAUAUUCAGGUUGCGCUGAUCCAUCAAGUACUUCAGACUCUUGUGGUCUGUGUAUAUGGUACACCGAACCCCAUACAGAUAGUAACGCCAGAUCUUGAGGGCGAACACCACAGCCCCCAGCUCUAGAUCGUGGGUGGGAUACCUCGGCUCAUGAGGCUUCAGCUGCCUUGAUGCAUAUGCUAUCACAUGCCCCCUCUGCAUAAGCACUGCUCCCAAACCGGAUAUCGAUGCAUCGCAGUAGACCACAAAAUCUUCCAUCCCUUCCGGGAGUGCGAGCACCGGGGCUUCGCACAACUUCUGGCGAAGUGUCUUAAAUGAGGUCUGUUGUUCCGGACCCCAGGAAAAAGCAACACCCUUCCAGGUUAUCUUCGUAAGUGGCACAACGAUCUUGGAUAAAUCCUUAAUAAAUCUCCGAUAAUAGCCGGCCAAUCACAGAAAGCUCCUGAUCUCGGUGGGUGAUCUCGGCACCUGCCACCUCAUGACCACCUCAAUCUUGGCCGGAACGACCAAUAUCCCAUUCAGGUUGACGAGAUGUCCCAAGAACUGAACUUCCCAUAACCAGAACUCACACUUGGAGAAUUUGGUAUAAAGCCUCUCCAAUCUCAGAACUCCAAGGAUCUCCCUCAAAUGCUCCUCAUGUUGUUCUCUAGACCUCGAAUACACCAAAAUAUCAUCAAUGAAUACGAUCACUGACCGAUCCAGCAUCGGCCUGCACACCCUGUUCAUGAGAUCCAUGAACACAGCUGGUGCAUUGGUGAGUCCAAAAGGCAUCACCAUGAACUCGUAAUGCCCAUAACGAUUUCUGAACGCUGUCUUCUGGAUAUCUUCAUCCCGAACCCUCAUCUGAUGAUAACCCGACCUCAAGUCUAUCUUGGAGAACAAAGACGCCCCCUGCAACUGAUUGAACGGGUCAUCGAUCCUCAACAACGGAUAACGGUUCUUGACCGUCAACUUGUUCAACUCCCGGUAAUCAAUGCACAUCCGGUGUGAACCAUCCUUUUUCUUGACAAAAAGAAUCGGCGCUCCCCAAGGCGAGCUACUCGGUCGAAUAAACCCCUUCCCUAGUAGCUCCAGAAGCUGCGAGGAUAACUCUAGCAUCUCUGGCGGCGCGAGGCGAUAAAGCGCAUUGGCGAUAGGUGCUGAUCCUAGAACCAAAUCGAUAUGAAACUCCACUUGCCUCUCGGGAGGCACACCCGACAACUCCUCAGGAAAAACAUCCGGAAACUCGCACACUAUCGGGACCUCAUCAAUCGAACUUGGCCUCGCAGUGGCCACUCGCGUGACCACCACAUAGGCUACGAAUCCGUUGCAGCCCUAUUGCAAACUCUGCCUCGCCCUGGCAGCCGAACAAAACGCUGACCCACAUCGGGUCCCCUCGCCGUACACCGUAAGUACUCCCCCACUGGGGUCUCGUACCGUCACCAAUUGACGCUCGCAGUCUAUGAUAGCUCUAAAUCAGCUCAACCAAUCCAUGCCCACUAUAACACACACAUCCCCCAUCGCCAUCGGAACCAGAUCUAUCAGAAACUCCACACCAAAGAUCUCAAGGAUACAUCGUCGAAUCACAUCCGUAAUAUACAUUGCUCGCUUAUCAGCUAUGGAAACUCGCAGAGGUCGAGCCAACGCCUCUCUAUGGAUACUAAUGUGCUGACUAAAUGUCAAGGAAACAAAUGACCGACUCGUACCCAAGUCAAAUAAUACCAAAGCAGGCACAAAACUCACAAGAAAAGUACCUAUGCAUAUCAUCAUAUAAGCACAAAAUCUCAACUCAAAUAAAAGAUAAAUACAUAAUACAUACCAGCCAUAACAUCGGGCGCUAUGCGGACCUCCUCCGCAGUCAACUGGAAAGCUCUCCCAUGAGCCUUCGAUGCCUCGGCCUUCACUGGCCGAACCUCGGUAGCUCUAGCAGCAGGCACUCGGCCUUCUGAUGGCCGGUCUGGUUGCAAUGGAAGCAAACCAAAAAUCCCUUGGGGAAAUCCCUCGCGAUGUGCCCCUCCUUCCCGCACUUGUAGCAAACUCCAGCCCUGCAUAACCCCUCGUGACUCUUUCUGAACUUCGCACAAGUGCGGCCCUUCAUGCCUCCAGAUCUCGAAUCAGCGGGUCUCGCCUGCUUGGCUGCUGGCUAAGACUGAGCCGAUCGCCGAUCCACCCUCUGUGACUCGGCCUCCUCCCUGGCCUGAGUCUCCAACUCAAUCUCCCUCUUCCGGGCAUUUUCCUGGAGCUCAGCAAAUGUCCAGUAAGUCGAGUUCGCCACGGACUCCCAAAUAUCUCUCCUCAGAACACUCAGAUACCGGCUUAUGGGAGCUUGCUCAAAAGACACCUGCUCAGGGCAAAACAUCUCCCUCUCAUGAAACUUCCUGGUAAUAACUGUAAUAGAAUCAAUACCCUGCUUGAGGGUCAAGAACUCCCGAAUCAACCGUUCCCUCUCCACCGGGGGAACAUACUCGUCUCUGAACAUGGCGGUGAACCUCUCCCAGGUCACCUUAGAAAUCUCCGCCAAAGUGAAGCUCGCCGUCAUGAACAUCCACCAAUCCUUCACUCCCAAGCGGAACUGGUUCAGAGCGAACCGUACUCUCAAGUGCUCUGGACAAGAACACGUAUAGACACAUCCCUCGAUGUCAGAGAUCCAUCUCAUCGCAGCAAUCGGGUCCUGCAUCCCAUCUUACUCUGGUGGCUUUGUUGGAUUAGUGUCUAAGUCAAUAACUAUUUUGGUAUGUACUUCACCCGAUGGUGCAUGGUCCUUUUGGGUUGCCUUCACCAAAGCAACUUGUUAGGCUGAAUUAUGGAGAAAAAGGAUUAAAUAUGAUUUAUUAAUAUAUUAUGAGAAUAAUAUAUAUUAAUGGAGAAAUCAUAUUGUUUAAUUAAUAUUAGUCAAUAAUUAAUUGGUAAUUAGUUUUGUGACUAAAAGAGAUUAAUUAAACUUAAGGGACUGGAAUUGUAAUUAUAAGAUAAUUGCAAUUUGGGCCAUGGAUUGUCUUGAAUCAAGGGGUGGACGAAUUCUACGGGGAAGCCCAUAAGGAAAUCGUCCAAGGCCCUAAGGAAAGGGGUCCAUGGGUUGCUUAGGGCUUAAGCAACCAAAUUAGGGUUUCCUUGUCAGAUAACCCUAAUAGCCUCCUAUAUAUAUGGAUCCCUUAUGACCCAAAAACGUGGCUAAGACUUCUCUCAGGUUUGUACACGGUUUUGGCAGCCUCCAUCCUCUUUCCUCUUCAUCCUCUUGCUUAUGGUGUUUGUGAACCAUUAGAGGAGUGACACUUGUGACUCUAAGCCUUCUGAAGUCAAUUCAAGGAGGAAUUGGGAUUGUUAUGAUACAUAACAAUUAAGGUAAUAUCAUAAACCUAAUUAUAUGUUAAUAUUGAUUUCCAUAUGCUAGAAUUAGGGUUUAUAGUCUUGGAUUCAAAGCAUGUACAAUAGAGAAACCUAGAUCCAAGCAUUAGGGUUUGUAUGAGCACAUAGGAUGUUUUUAGACCAAAACCCAUCANCCAUGAUUGGUUUCUAUUGUAUUGUUGCUUGAUAUGUUUGCAAAAUCGAUUUUUGGGCUUUCUGGAUAAGGAACUCCGCGAGUACUACAGUGUACUCGGCGAGUAGACCUCAACUCGGCGAGUACAGUGUGGUACUCGGCGAGUUCGAGCGUUAGAUGGAGCAUACUUUGGGAUUUCUUGUUGUUUUUGCUAAUGGAUAGCUACCUCAUCAUGUUAGAUCAAUAUUAAUUCGAUUAUAUGAUAUAUUUGACUAUAAUUUUGAUCUAAUUGAAGAUAUUUAUCAAUUAAUAAGAUAUUUGUUUCCUUAUGUGAUAAUUGAUUAAUUAUUUUGAGUAAAUUGAUAAAUUGUUUUGCAAGAAAUCAUUAAAUAAAUCAAAUAUGGAUAAUUAUGUGAUUAAAUGUUAAUUUAGAUUAUUUGUUAUUUGAUCCUUGUUGUUAUGAAAAGUUUCAUAUUUUGCCCUUUAGGUUUUAUAGUUUAAAUUUGAACCCAAAAGUUUUGUUGUUUUGAAAUUUAAAUAGUUGAAACCCUAAUGUUUUGAAAAAGGUUUCAAAACUUGCCCUCAAGUUUUGGAAUUUAAAUUUUGAUUAAAUAGUUUAAUUUUGAUGUAUAUUUAAAUUCUAAACCCUAAUGUGUUGAAAUGUUUCAAAACUUGCCCUCAAGUUUUGGAAUUUAAAAGUUGAUUAAAAGUUUAAUUAGGAAUGUUAAAUUCUAAAACUCUAGUAUAGUUUUGAAAAAGUUCAAAUCACACCCUUAUGGUUUUAUUAAUUAAUUAAGGUGUAUAAUUAAAAGAAGUUUAAUAAAUCCAUAAAAGUUUAGGUUUACAAUUUAAUUGAAUUAAAGGUAUAAUUGUUAAAUUAGACCACCUAGUAUUUUAAAAGUAUAAAAUACACCCUAUACUAUAUAUAACAUUAAAAGUCUAACAUUAUAUAUAUGUAUGAGUAAAAGUCAGUCUUACCGUUAGUAGGCCUCAUUCACGAAGCUGGUCUAUAAGGGGUGUUUAAGGAAAUUGCCUAUAAAAUGGCGAUUGAAUGGGUAUCCACUCUUACCCACCGCACUCUUGACUAGUGGAGGGUCGUUAGCCGAACGGGUAGGAUAGGACGAAACCUUCCAUUAUAAGUAUAAUGAAUUAUUAAAGUAACUAAAUGUUUUCAUAAAAUUCCC
rnacentral:lncRNA from 1 species